rnacentral:rRNA from 1 species
UACGUAGGUGGCGAGCGUUUGUCCGGAUUUACUGGGCGUAAAGAGCGCGCAGGCGGUCGUGCAAAGUCGCGUGUGAAAGCCCCCGGCUCAACUGGGGAGGGUCACGCGAUACUGCUCGACUCGAAGGCAGGAGAGGGAAGUGGAAUUCCCGGUGUAGUGGUGAAAUGCGUAGAUAUCGGGAGGAACACCAGUGGCGAAGGCGACUUCCUGGCCUGUUCUUGACGCUGAGGCGCGAAAGCUAGGGUAGCAAACGGG